rnacentral:rRNA from 1 species
UGAUCAAGCUACAAAGAGCGCAUCAUGGAUGCCUUGGUGCCAAUAGGCGAUGAAGGACGUGGUAAGCUGCGAUAAGCUACGGACAGCGGCAAACACGCUUUGACCCGUAGAUUUCCGAAUGGGGUAACCUGAGCGAGGUAACACUUGCUCGAGUUCCUGUGAAUCCAUAGCAGGAACAUCGCGAAACCCGGCGAAGUGAAACAUCUCAGUAACCGGAGGAAAAGAAAUCGAAAGAGAUUCCGUCAGUAGUGGCGAGCGAAAGCGGAACAGGCUAAACCCAGCUACUUCGAGCUAUUUCUACAGACCCAUGUAUUACGUUUAUAUUCUCAAACAUCCGACUGAAGACGACAUUUACAUUGGCUUCAGCACGGACCUGCGCACUCGAAUGAAGGCUCACAAGAGCGAACAUCGGGAAUGGCGGCUGGCGUAUUACGAGGCAUACGCUUCAGAGACCGACGCCAGAGCGAGAGAGCGGCGACUGAAAUAUCACGGCAACGUGAAGCAAUUGUUGAAGAAACGAAUCAUGAGGAGCCUGGAGAUGGUUUGAAGUAGCUGGGGGUUGUAGGAGCCCGACGUGGUAGUGCAAAGGUUAGGUGAAGCUUCUGGAAAGCUGCGCCAUAGAGGGUGAAAGGCCCGUAACCGAAAACCCGAGCACGCCUAGGGAUUUCCUGAGUAAUACGAUGCACGUGAAACUUCGUAUGAAUCUGCGCCGACCACGGCGUAAGCCUAAAUACUCAUUGGCGACCGAUAGUGAACAAGUACCGCGAGGGAAAGGUGAAAAGAACCGCUGCGAGCGGAGUGAAAUAGUACCUGAAAUGAUGUGC